UACUUUCCAUGACACCAACCAAAUGUUUCUGUCAUCACAAUAAUCUGUGGUGUUAAACACACAUUUUUGGAAACAGAUAACGACACACCAGCAUAGCUUCUGUGCUGCAGCUCAUUCAUGAUGGCUGUGUCUGUCUACCUUUUAAGCAUGGUUCUGUUUUGCCUGUUAAAUGUAGCAGUAAACUGGAUCUUUUCCAAGAGGCUGCAGUUAUGGCUAUGCUGAGAGUGGACAGCGUCUCACUGUGGAGCCCCAGUACUACAGAGCUGCACAUUAUCCCAGCCAGCAUGACCAGGUCCACAGUUCCUCAGCCUGGAGUAGCACUUUUCCUGCUGACCUCAGGUCAAAAAGUGCUCCAGUAGAUUUCCGCCUGACUAUAUCCUUCCAACGCCUCUCAAGUCCACCGACAACCUCUACCAGUAGUCCUGGCUCUAAUCAGAAAGGCGGCACCCCUUGUGCUGGGGCCCAGACCCAAACCAAGAUUAGUCUGCCCCCAAUGGAUCUGACACCCAGAGAGAGGUUUCCCAUAGCCCCAUUGGAAAGAUCCAAGGUGUAAAGGGCAGUUGUUGUUUUUUUUUUAUCCCAGAUAAGAUGGAGCUAACGGAUUUGACCAAACCCCAAACUGGAAAGACCAGCUGUGCCAUUUACCCUAUUCCCUUAGCCAUUGGUCCCCCCCAGUAUGAGACAAAUCCCAGUGGCUAUUACUUGCAUACCACAUCUUUCCCCAUGUAUUAUUCAAACCCAACUUCUUCAUUUUACCCUGUUCCAAUGUGGUAUGGUCCCACUCAGGAUGUUAAGUGGUUAUAACCCAGGCCAGGUGAAGCCUCCCACAAACUUUGACAAAGGACCAUUUCUCCCAAACCAAUCACUGCAGCUGGUCCUGCACCGGUUGGCUCAAGUACCCCCCCUCAGCCUGGAAAUGUUCCCAGUGGACAUUACCAAGGUCUGAAGAACCCCACUACUACCCAAUUUGGGACACCCUAGACUGGAGGAGGACAGGCUGAUAAGAAAUCCUCGCCUGUCCAGACAGGAAAUAAACCUAAUUCCUCCAGAAUGGAAAGCUCUCAAAACCUGCACUCCAGCGAUUAUACCCCCAGCUAUGGCCCUCCUUAUAGUGUAGGUCAGUAUAAAUAUAAACCCCCAACUCCAAUAAAACCUGACCCUGUGCCCACCAAUGUUGGCUAUGGCCAAAAUGGAGGAGCUCCUAGUGGUUACUACUACCCGGGUCAGGAAAACCUCUCCCCAGGUUAUUUUGGCAAAAGACUGACUGAACAAACUAUGCCUCCAAAACCUACUGUUGAUCCUGUAUCCAAUACCUCUGAUCCUAUCCACUAUGGAAAAUAUUUUCUAGUUCAAACUAAACCUUCCAUCUCAAAUUCAGGAAUAGGCCAGGCUGGUAAGAAACCUUCAGUCCAGAAAGGUAGUGAACUUGGUCCACCAAGCCCCCAAAUAAGACCUGCCCCCCCAGAAUUAUACCCCAGCUAUGGCUCUCCUUACAGUAUGGAUAGCCAAUAUACAUUCAAACCCCCCGUCAGAAAAACCCCUCCACCUCCCAUUCAGGAAGAGACCAGGAUGGUAAACUCUCUCCUGGACCAAUUUCUGGCCCUGUUUCUGCGCUCAAUCAUUCCAUCACAGGAAGUUCAGACAGCAAACCUGCACCGCAGAGUUAUACCCCCACCUACAAUGCUCCUUAUAGUGUUGGUAGCCAAUAUAACCGCCGAAGGCCAGUCAAUCCUGACAAAACAGACUAUCAUUGAGUCCCAAGGUAGUGAACAUUGUUCCCCAACCCGCAAAUACAGCAGGCCUGUGCCCCCUACUUAUAGCCCCAUCUUAAAGCACAGGUGCCCCAAGGCCAGUAACUGCCCAAACAGACUACUACCUUGUGCCAUCCAAUAUUGGCUAUAGCCAGAAUGGAGGAGUGCCUAUUAGCUACUACUACUCAGGUCAGGAAAACCCUUCUACCAGUUAGUUAUAUUGAACAAAACAUUCCUCCAGCCAAUGUUCCUCUGCACAAAGUAUACAGUGCCUUGCGAAAGUAUUCGGCCCCCUUGAACUUUGCGACCUUUUUCCACAUUUCAGGCUUCAAACAUAAAGAUAUAAAACUGUAUAUUUUUUGUGAAGAAUCAACAACAAGUGGGACACAAUCAUGAAGUGGAACGACAUUUAUUGGAUAUUUCUAACUUUUUUUCAUUUUUGAAAAGAACACCUGAAAUUUCAGCCUGUUUUGGUGGGAUUGAGUUUUGGAAGUUAGACCAAUUACUUUCAAACCUAUGUCAAUAAUGGAUCGAUUUUAGGUUACAGAUCCCUCCUAAUAAGGCCCUUCACUCAGUCCUUGCAAAAUUCUUGCUUGAGAAAUUGCUCUUUGCUAAGAAGCUUUUAAAAACUCAUUUCUGACCAUAUCAAUUGAAAAUAACAGUAUGAAGGUACUUCAUUGUUCCCUGAAUUAUUUUAUAUUGAGGUAAACUGCUGCAUUGGACCUUGAAAGAAUGGCAUAAGCUUGAAUGCACUAGGUGUGAGGAAAUACCAUUUGAUUUUUGUUCAAACAUCCUUAACAUUUCUGGGAUUACAUCUUUAUAAUGAGGACUAGAAGUAACUCCACAGGGCUUAAGCUUACACUGCAAUUACAUUCUGUACAUAUCAACUGGAAUUCACAGGUUUGAAAUACAAUGGAUGUCAAAAGUUGUCAUGAGGUGCCUUGCUCUAUGGUCCAUAUCAGCUGCUAGAAACCUUUGGCACCAUUACAAAUGUGGAUAUUGUCUAUUCAACCAUGUAUGAUUUUUGUCACUCAAUGAGUUGUAGCUGUGGGUGGCAGGUGUGGUAAUUUGACUUGUCACGUGUAUGGCAUUUAUGUGAUAAGAUGUCGCACUGCGCAGUUGCCGACAUUGCAUAGAGGGUGUGUUCAAAAGAACUCCAGAUCAAAGAAAUGCUCUUUUAUUGGGGAGUCUCACAGGAGACACGUUAACUUCAAAGACUAACGAGUUGGAGCUCUUCCUUUGCUUGUUGCAAUAGGUCUGGGCGGCAUCACUGAAGCACAUCAGCUGUAAACAAACCCUGCAUAUUCAUAGGAACUGACAUACCAUGUCAUCAUUCUUGUUUAACAUGAGCCCCCACCUAUUUAGUCCUGCCACACUUGUUACUGCUCUGGCUGCUAGCUACUGUAUGACAAAUAGUGAUUAGUGGUAUUAGUGGUAUUUUGACUAACUGUUUCAGUGUUUUGUUUUGUGGACCCCAGGAGGAAUCGCUUCGGCAAAAGCUAAUGGCGAUCUGAAUAAAACUUGCUUCUAAUUGCUUGUAU